AAGCUCGUAGUUGAAUUUCGGGGUUAGUAGGUUGGUCAUGCCUCUGGUAUGUACUGGUCUCACUGAUUCCUCCUUCCUGAUGAACCGUNAUGCCAUUAAUUUGGUGUUGCGGGGAAUUUGGACUGUUACUUUGAAAAAAUUAGAGUGUUUAAAGCAAGCUAACGCUUGAAUACAUUAGCAUGGAAUAAUGAAAUAGGACGUUCGAUCCUAUUUUGUUGGUUUCUAGGAUUGACGUAAUGAUUAAUAGGGAUAGUUGGGGGCAUUAGUAUUCAAUUGUCAGAGGUGAAAUUCUUGGAUUUAUUGAAGACUAACUACUGCGAAAGCAUUUGCCAAGGAUGUUUUCAUUAAUCAAGAACGAAAGUUAGGGGAUCGAAGACGAUCAGAUACCGUCGUAGUCUUAACCAUAAACUAUGCCGACUAGGGAUCGGAUGAUGUUAAUUUUUUAAUGACUCAUUCGGCGCCCUACGGGAAACCAAAGUGUUUGGGUUCCGGGGGGAGUAUGGUCGCAAGGCUGAAACUUAAAGGAAUUGACGGAAGGGCACCACAGGGGUGGAGCCUGCGGCUUAAUUUGACUCAACACGGGGAAACUCACCAGGUCCAGACAUAGUAAGGAUUGACAGAUUGAGAGCUCUUUCUUGAUUCUAUGGGUG
rnacentral:rRNA from 1 species